CUGCUGCCUCCCGUAGGAGUUUGGGCCGUGUCUCAGUCCCAAUGUGGCCGGUCACCCUCUCAGGUCGGCUACUGAUCGUCGGUUUGGUGGGCCGUUACCCCGCCAACUGCCUAAUCAGACGCGGGGCCAUCUCAUACCACCGGGAGUUUUUCACACUGUACCAUGCGGCACUGUGCGCUUAUGCGGCAUUAGCAGUCAUUUCUAACUGUUAUUCCCCUGUAUGAGGCAGGUUCCCCACGCGUUACUCACCCGUCCGCCG
rnacentral:rRNA from 1 species